UUGGACUAGUAACCAGCAGGUAGACUAGUGGUUAGAGAGUUGGACUAGUAACCAGCAGGUAGACUAGUGGUAAGAGAGUUGGACUAGUAACCAGCAGGUAGACUAGUGGUAAGAGAGUUGGACUAGUAACCAGCAGGUAGACUAGUGGUUAGAGAGUUGGACUAGUAACCAGCAGGUAGACUAGUGGUAAGAGAGUUGGACUAGUAACCAGCAGGUAGCCUAGUGGUUAGAGUGUUGGACUAGUAACCAGCAGGUAGACUAGUGGUUAGAGAGUUGGACUAGUAACCAGCAGGUAGACUAGUGGUAAGAGAGUUGGACUAGUAACCAGCAGGUAGACUAGUGGUAAGAGAGUUGGACUAGUAACCAGCAGGUAGACUAGUGGUUAGAGAGUUGGACUAGUAACCAGCAGGUAGACUAGUGGUUAGAGUGUUGGACUAGUAACCAGCAGGUAGUGGUUAGAGCGUUGGACUAGUAACCAGCAGGUAGCCUAGUGGUAAGAGAGUUGGACUAGUAACCAGCAGGUAGUGGUUAGAGUGUUGGGCCAGUAACCAGCAGGUAGCCUAGUGGUAAGAGAGUUGGACUAGUAACCAGCAGGUAGACUAGUGGUAAGAGAGUUGGACUAGUAACCAGCAGGUAGACUAGUGGUUAGAGCGUUGGACUAGUAACCAGCAGGUAGACUAGAGGUAAGAGAGUUGGACUAGUAACCAGCAGGUAGACUAGUGGUUAGAGCGUUGGACUAGUAACCAGCAGGUAGUCUAGUGGUUAGAGAGUUGGACUAGUAACCAGCAGGUAGACUAGUGGUUAGAGAGUUGGACUAGUAACCAGCAGGUAGACUAGUGGUUAGAGCGUUGGACUAGUAACCAGCAGGUAGACUAGUGGUAAGAGAGUUGGACUAGUAACCAGCAGGUAGACUAGUGGUUAGAGAGUUGGACUAGUAACCAGCAGGUAGUCUAGUGGUUAGAGAGUUGGACUAGUAACCAGCAGGUAGACUAGUGGUUAGAGAGUUGGACUAGUAACCAGCAGGUAGACUAGUGGUUAGAGCGUUGGACUAGUAACCAGCAGGUAGACUAGUGGUAAGAGAGUUGGACUAGUAACCAGCAGGUAGACUAGUGGUUAGAGAGUUGGACUAGUAACCAGCAGGUAGUCUAGUGGUUAGAGAGUUGGACUAGUAACCAGCAGGUAGACUAGUGGUUAGAGCGUUGGACUAGUAACCAGCAGGUAGACUAGUGGUAAGAGAGUUGGACUAGUAACCAGCAGGUAGACUAGUGGUUAGAGCGUUGGACUAGUAACCAGCAGGUAGUCUAGUGGUUAGAGAGUUGGACUAGUAACCAGCAGGUAGCCUAGUGGUUAGAGAGUUGGACUAGUAACCAGCAGGUAGACCUGUCGGAGCUGUGGAGGAGACAGACCAGUGGACAUUGUUCCAGCGACUGACUCUUAUCUAUUAUCCAAUGGCAGAGGAAUAACAUUUUUUAAAAAUCCCAUGCCGAGCUGUUCGGUUCAAAUCCCGUUCAAACACAGACAAAAGGA